GCGAACUCCGAGCCAGAAGCCGAGGUAAUACGGAGGAUCCAAGCGGUAUCCGGAAGCAGUGGGUUGAAAGGGUCCGUAGGCGGCCUUAUAAGUCAGCGGUGAAAGUUUUUGGCUUAACCAAAAAAUUGCCAUUGAUACUGUAGGGCUUGAAUAUUUGUGAAGUAACUAGAAUAUGUAGUGUAGCGGUGAAAUGCUUAGAUAUUACAUGGAAUACCAAUUGCGAAGGCAGGUUACUAACAAAUGAUUGACGCUGAUGGACGAAAGCGUGGGUAGCGAACAGGAUUAGAUACCCGAGUAGUC
rnacentral:rRNA from 1 species